ensembl:lncRNA
UGUACACUCACUUCUCCAAGGCAUCGUCUCUGUCCUGUAGUGCCUGUUGUAGAACAGCACUGCCAUCCACAUCAUUUUCUCUACGACCCCCGGACUUGGAAUCCUUGUUAAACCGAAAGGAAAGAGUGGCAAAGUACUAUGAAGACAGCACUGAUCUCAGCAAGAGGCGCAACAUGCAGAGAAAUUCACAAUUCAGGGCAAUCACAUGUACCUACAGGGGAAGGAUGGCCAGCCACACAGGAGGGUGAUUUUUACUAAGGAGGAGAAGGAGGCCACUGACCGUGCUGACCGAGAUGCAUGGUGGCCAUUUCAGAGUGAAGCGCAUGAUUGCCAAAAUCAACCUACACUUCUUCUGACGGGGAAUUGUGAAGGAGGUGGACAGCUGGAGGACCUGAUCCCUAGGACCAUGCCUCAGGACUACCUGGCCUGAUGACUCCUUGCUGUCCCAAGUCCACCUGGUCGUGCUGCU